rnacentral:rRNA from 1 species
UACGUAGGGGGCAAGCGUUGUCCGGAUUUAUUGGGCGUAAAGAGCUCGUAGGCGGUUCGGUAAGUUGGUGUGAAACCUCCAGGCUCAACCUGGAGACGCCACCCGAUACUGCUGUGACUAGAGUCCGGUAGGGGAGCGUGGAAUCCUGGUUGUAGCGGUGAAAUGCGCAGAUAUCAGGAGGAACACCGAUGGCGAAGGCAGGUCUCUGGGCCGAUACUGACGCUGAGGAGCGAAAGCGUGGGGAGCGAACAGG